rnacentral:tRNA from 1 species
GCGGCGGGGCGUCCCGGCUGCUCGCGGCGGCGGUGUACGCGCUGUGGCCGGUGUUCACGACGGUCGUCGGUUCGACGUCGGCCGCCGCGC